rnacentral:ncRNA from 1 species
GGUUCCCUCAGAAUGGUUGGAAAUCAUUCACAGAGUGUAAAGGCAGAAGGGAGCUUGACUGCGAGACCCACAAGUCGAGCAGGGACGAAAGUCGGGCUUAGUGAUCCGGUGGCACCGCAUGGAAGGGCCAUCGCUCAACGGAUAAAAGCUACCCUGGGGAUAACAGGCUUAUCUCCCCCAAGAGUUCACAUCGACGGGGAGGUUUGGCACCUCGAUGUCGGCUCAUCGCAUCCUGGGGCUGUAGUCGGUCCCAAGGGUUGGGCUGUUCGCCCAUUAAAGCGGUACGCGAGCUGGGUUCAGAACGUCGUGAGACAGUUCGGUCCCUAUCCGUCGCGGGCGUAGGAAAUUUGCGAGGGUCUGUCCUUAGUACGAGAGGACCGGGAUGGACAUACCGCUGGUGAACCAGUUGUCUUGCCCAAGGCAGCGCUGGGUAGCUAUGUAUGGACGGGAUAAACGCUGAAAGCAUCUAAGUGUGAAACCCACCUCCAGAUGAGAUUUCCCAUUCAGAAAUGAAGUAAGACCCCUCAGAGAAGAUGAGGUAGAUAGGUUGCGCGUGGAAGUACGGUGACGUAUGGAGCGGAGCGAUACUAAUCGGUCGAGGACUUAACCGA